GACGAACGCUGGCGGCGCGCUUAACACAUGCAAGUCGAACGAUUAGAGCCCCUUCGGGUGUGUAUAAAGUGUCGAACGGCUGUGUAUCACGUGUGCAACCUGUCCCUUUCAUUUUGAUAGCCCCUGAAGAACCUGGAUAUUAUCGAAUAUUUCGAGUCUUGCGCCUGGAAGACUGUUGAAAGGUUCGGGCGGGUGGGGUUGGACCCGGGCCUUUUAGCCUUGUUGGUGGGGUACUGGCUUACCAAGGCAAUGACGGGUAGUUGGGUUGAGGGGGUGACCAGCCACAUUGGGACUGAGACACGGCCCAGACUCCUACGGGAGGCAGCAGUGGGGAAUAUUGCACAAGGGGCGGAAGCCUGAUGCAGCGACGCCGCGUGCGGGAUGAAGGCCUUCGGGUUGUAAACCGCUUUCCGCUGUGACGAAGCGAAAGUGACGGUAACGGCGAAAGAAGCUCGGGCUAACUACGUG
rnacentral:rRNA from 1 species